AAGAAAACAGCUGAUGAAAGGGGCUCAAGCUAGCUUCAUUUCGUGCAGGUCUAGUUCUAAGUCUAGGGGCAGAAGUCUUAGAUUUGGCUGGACACCCAGCCUCCUCUGUGACCUGUCAGGAUUUUUAACUUCACAAUAACUCCUAAGCGGACUGCUGUCCACUGGCCACAACUUACUGAAACUUUCUCCAUAUUCAGCAUUUAUUAAAGACUGGAGGUUCCAAGAUAGCAGUUUUAAUGUGAAAACAGGAAGACACAAUACCCACUCUUCUGCACGAUGUAGACAAGACCCCAGGAGCUGCAGCAGUCAUCUACUAACACUGAAGUUCGCAGAACUAAAAGACGGAAGGAGCCUGGGAUGCUGACGCAAUCGUGAAGCCACUGACACAACCCUGGACUGCCUAUCUCAUAGCUUUUAUUUAAGUCUUCUUAUUUAACAAGUUAUUGAUUAUUAAAGCCAGACUCUUUCUUAACUGAUCCAGAGUUUGGUGCCCAUAGGUGAGGCACACGGUAAGCAGCAGAGUCCAGUGCAUAGAACUGGCUGAAAGGAGAGCACAAAUUAACCUUUCAUGGUACAGGUCUGGAGGUAGACAAACCUGUGUUUGUGUCCUGGCCCUGCCACUAACUGGCUUUGUACCCUGGUCAAAUUACUUAAUAUAAGACUUCCUUUCCUCAUCUUACAUCUGGAUCAUGAAAACAUUAUUUUUAACAUUAUUUUGUACAUUAAGAGAAAUGCCUGUGUAUUCCACAGUGUCUGGCACAUAACUGUGCCAACUAGUGGUAGCUUUUUAAAAGCCACGGGUAAGCUGGGGCCACUCUACCUUUCUAAGACAUGAUUAUAUUUGGCUUGAACCCCUAUUUCACAACCCUGUGAAAAUCCAGACCUUACCUGUGACAGGCAGACUUCCAAGGUGGCCCCAGUGACCCCUGCCUCUUGGUAUUCCUGCCCUUGUACAUAACUCCCUCCCCUUGAGUAUGAGCUGGACCUAUUGACUUAAUUUUAAUCAAUAGAAUACGGCAAAGUUGAAGGGACAGCACUUUUUUGAUUAGGUUACAAGAGAUUUUUGACUUCUCUCUUGCUAGUGGACUCUACUGGGUGGGUCCACAUGGCAAGGAACCAAGGGUAGCCUCUGGCCAGCAACCAGAGAGAAGAUAAAGAUCUCCAACAAUGUAUGAGUUUGGAAGAGGAUCGUUCUUCUGUAGAGUUUUCUGGUGAGACCCCAGCCUUGGCAACAUCUUGACUGUCUCCCUGUAAAGGCACCUUGAGACAGAGGACUCGGCUCAGCCUGCUUAGACUCCUGACUCACAGAAUCAGUGAGAGACAAAAACAAACUGUUUUAAGCCACUAAGUGUUGAGGUAAUUUGUCACACAGUAGAUAAUAAACUU